GACGUAGGGCGCGGGCGUUGUCCGGAUUUAUUGGGCGUAAAGAGCUCGUAGGCGGCUUGUCGCGUCGUCCGUGAAAACCUGCAGCUCAACUGCGGGCUUGCGGUCGAUACGGGCAGGCUAGAGUUCGGUAGGGGAGACUGGAAUUCCUGGUGUAGCGGUGAAAUGCGCAGAUAUCAGGAGGAACACCGGUGGCGAAGGCGGGUCUCUGGGCCGAUACUGACGCUGAGGAGCGAAAGCGUGGGGAGCGAACAGG
rnacentral:rRNA from 1 species